rnacentral:misc_RNA from 1 species
AAGUCGUAACAAGGUUUCCGUAGGUGAACCUGCGGAAGGAUCAUUACCACGUUCCAAACGUAUCAACCAACCGAGAAUCGUUUUCAAACGCUCCCAACAUAGAGAAUGAGCUGGACGAGCAAACGUGCGCGUGCGGAGCCCUUCACUGGGCUAGCGUCUGCUCCCAACUGGAGUCUUGCUUCGGCAAGGCUGCGACAGCUGUAUUUCUAUGGGUGGCUAAAUUCCUGCUACUCUGGCUUCCGACACCGGCUGCGAGUGGCAUGGAGCCAUACACAUUCACACUAUUCACCCUUUUUGCUAGUUGACUUUUCUAUGUUGCUCUUUGCUUCGGCAUGGAGUACACGUUUAAUUAUUUGAACGUUAAAAAUACAACUCUUAGCAAUGGAUAUCUUGGUUCUC